ensembl:snRNA U6 U6 spliceosomal RNA
UUAGCUUAGUGGCAUAACAAUACUAAAAUUGGAAUGAUACAGAGAAGAUUAGCAUGGCCCCU